GCCGAGAUGUUGGAAUGGUAGACAAGACAGACUUAAAAUCUGUUGCUACGAAUGUAGCGUGGGAGUUCGAAUCUCCCUCUCGGCA
rnacentral:tRNA from 2 species